AAUCCAGACUCAUCCAAUUGGAGUAAUAUUGCUGGAACAUACGGAUACAUUGCACCAGGUAAUUUUCAUUGUACUUCCAUAGAUGAAAUGGCAUAUAGGAUAAUAUUUGUCAUCAACUAUUUAUCUUUUUCUUUGCAGAGCUUUCCUACACCAUGCAAGUUACUGAAAAAUGUGAUGUGUAUAGUUUUGGUGUGCUGGCAUUGGAAUUGAUAGUUGGGGCAUAUCCGGGUGAAUUUCUCUCUAAUCUAUCAAUUGUAACAGCAGAAAGCAUUCCACUAAACAAUGUGUUGGAUCAAAGGCUUUCGCCUCCUCCGCCAGAAGUUAUGAACAAACUCGUAUUCAUCCUGAAGUUGGCCGUUUCAUGUUUAGAUAACAAUCCAAAAUCUAGGCCAACCAUGCACACUGUUUCUCAGCUCGUGUUCGACCACAUCUAGUCCCUUGUAGGUCCCUUUGAUCUUCAUCUAAGAUACCACCUUGGAAAUGUUUGGUAUUGCUCUAAUGUUGUUCCUUUUAGCUUUUGUGUAGUAAUCAUGGGUGAAUGGAUUAGCAUUUUUAUACCCGUAAUUUCCUUUUCCAUGAAAAUUAAUACUAGCUUGUUGGUAGUGCAACAAGAGUUGUUUCCGAUAUUUGUCUGUAACAGUUUAUCAUAAAUUAUAUUCUAGUAUUAUCUUUUCAAAGGUUUCACCCUCUAAUAUGAAUUUGGUCGUUCAAAGAGCUAAGCCUUUCAAAGCUUUCAACACCCUCCCUUUGCUAUUAAUCCAUGUCCUAUUGUCUCAUAUUAGACCUACAUCAAUUAAAGGAUUCGCUAAUCCAUUUAUUAAUGCUCUCAAAUUUUAAUGUCUUCCCCAUUCUUUUUCUCUUAAGGGUCAUACCUAUAUCAACUGCCACUUUUGUAUGUUUAAUUAUUUGAAGCUUUAAUUAGAUAUGCAAAAUUGGCUAAAACCGAUUAUAUAAAAAUUAUAUGAUCACUGUAAAUUUGUUUUUAUAAUUCAUACUGUUAUUUUAAUGUUUUGAUAUAGGGUCCCACUUGUUUUGGAAUAAAUUAUUUCUGAAAAUAUAUGAAUAGUUUAUUCAUUUUUGUUACAACAAUUCAACUGUAAAAUGUACUGUUAAUUUUGUUAUAUAUUCUCAGUGUUUUUGCUUUUAGGCACUAUUUAUCUUUUCCAACUAUGGUUUUUAAAUUUGGUCAGACUAUGCUGCAUAUUUUCAAUUCCAAUGUUUAGCAUGUUCUCGGUUAUAUGAUAUAGUCUAAUUUUUAUUUUUGGCGUGUAACAGUAAUGAUAGAACCGGAUUGUGAUAUCAAGAUACAGGAUAUGCAUACGUAUUAUGAAGUGUUAAAGAUUUUAAGUAAAGAAAUUAGCUCCACUUUCUUACCUUAUAAAGACAAAGAGAAAGCUUUGAAAACGUACAAACAACUAGUUGAGUAUCAUGACGAUCACAUAUUAUGCUACCAUCAUCUUGUAUGCUAUCAAGAUAAUGGUUACUUCCAGUAGAAUAUUCUAAAAGCGUUCUAACUUAUUUUAGAGAAAGGAUGAAGUAGGAAAAUAGUUAUUUAAACCAAAUUGGGAAUAAGUGGUUCAAUUACAUUAAAGAACAUUUCUUUAAGAUCUUCCAGGAUGUCGUUUGUAUAUUGACCAAGUAUUUACACACAAUAUCCAAAGAAAGUAUAUUCAUUACUAAUUUCGAUGGGCAGGUAAAAUUUUUAUCCUACUCAACUUAUAACGAUGUUAAUGAUGCCAAUUUAUAAAAUAAACAAUUUAAGUAAAAAAGUAAAUAGAAUAUUGUUAUAUGCAUUUUGGCAAGUAACAAAUAAUUGAACAAAUAUAGUGUAAAGACUUCCUACUUAAAAUGUUUUUUUUUUAUAGAUUGACAUCAUUAAUAGCAACUUUCAUUUGUCUGUUAAAUGCAUCUAAAUCGGGUAAAAAAUUUACCCACACAUUAAAAUUAGUAAUGAAUAUUGACUUUCUCGAAUAUAGCGAGUAAAUACUUUCUUGAUUCAUAUACAAACAACAUUCUAACAGAUCUUACAAAAAUUUUCUCUAAUAUAACUGAAGCACAUAUGCUUACUUCAGUUUGAAUAACUAUUUUCUCACUUUAUUUUUUCUCUAAAAUAAGUUGUAACGUUUUUAAAACAUUCUACCACAAGCAACCAUUUAUCUUGGUGGUAUACAAUAUGAUAGCAACACAACAUGCGAUCGUCAUACUGCUCAACUAGCUAUUUGUACGUUUCCAAAGCUCCCUCUUUGUCUUUAUAAGGUAAGAAAGUAAAGCUAAUUUCUUUAAUUGAAAUCUUCAACACUCCAAUAUGUACACGUAUCCUGUACCUUGCUAUCUCAAUCUGAUUCCACUAUAGUUGUUGCAAACCAAAAAUAAAAAUUAAACAAGAUCAUAUAAUUAAGAACAUGCUAAACAUUGAAAUUGAAAAGAUGCAGCAUAGUCUAAACACAUUUAAAGACCAUAGUUGGAAAAUAUAAAUAGAGUCUAAAAGUAAAAAUAUUGAGAAUAUAUAACAAAAUUGACAUUACUUUUUACUGUAUUUAAUACGAAUUACAAAAACAAAUUUACACUGAUUAUAUAAUUUUUACAUAUUCCUUACCUAGUUUUAGUCGAUUUUGACUAUAUGAUUAAAGCUUCAAAUAAUUGAACACACAAAAAUGGCAAUACCCUACUCAUCUCACUCUCUAUGUUAAUGAUGUCCAUCUAUAAAAUAAACAAUUUAAGUAAAAAUUAAUAACAAAAGUAAAUAGAAUAUUAUAACACAAAAUAUUGAAAUCUUACUCCUAUUUUUCGUUGUAAUGACGAUAAAUAUUAGAGCAAUACUCAACUAAUUCACCCAUAGAAAACAUCUUAUGUAGGUAACCUUCAAACCGUUUCUGUUUAAUUGCUUUACGCUUCAAGAGAUGAUCUAGAUUUACAAUAAAACGGAACUUAUCUCCAAACUAAAGGAGCAUCCAAUAUAAACUCGUGACUCACGUGUUUCUAUCCAUUUGGACAUAGGCAAAUAAGUCAACAAAAAAUUUAUGAAAUUAAUGAAAUAGAACUUUUGAAUUAUCGAACUUUAAAAUAAAUAUAUGAAAGAUGAUAUCAACUUACAAGAUUUGAAAAUCGAGCUGAGUAAAAAAAGAUAACGAUUCAGACGUCAUAUUGAAAUUCUUAUAAUUUCGAAUAACAGAUCUAAACAACAAAUUGAUGAUGUAGUUUAUCAAAUAUUUGAACUCAUCAAUAACAACUCUCAUUUGUCUGUUACAUGCAUCUAAAUCGAGUAAAAAUUUUACUCGAGCAUGAAAAUUAGUAAUGAACAUAGACUUUUCCAAAUAUUGCGUGUAAAUACUUUGAUUACCUUUUUUUGCUCAUAUGCAAGCAACAUCCUGAAUGAUUUUACCAAAAUCUUUACUACUAUAACUGAACUACGUAUGCUCAUUUCUAUUUGAAUAAUUAUUUUCCCAUUUCUCCAUCUUUUCUCUUAAAUAAGUAAAACAUUUUUAGAACAUUUUACCGCAAGCAACAAUUUAUCUUUGAUAGUAUACAAGAUAAUGGCGGCACAAUAUGUAAUCGUAAUAAUGUUCAAAUAAAUGUUUGUACACUUUUAAAGCUUUCUAUUUUAUCUUUAUAAGCCAAAAAUGUAGAGUUAAUGCUUGAAAUCUUUAAUACUCCAUAUCCAGUAGUUUGAUAUUACAAUCCGAUUUCCCCAUAGUUAUUGUAAACCAAAAAUAAAAAUUAGACUAAAUCAUAUAACCAAUAACAUGCUAAACAUUAGAGUUGAAAAGAUGCAGUAUAAUCCGAUAGUGUUGAAAGACUAUAGACAGAGCUUAAAAGCAAAAAUAUUUAGAAUAUAUACAUACAUCUUAAGUUACAUACCACCUUGACUUCACCUGAUUAAUUGUUUUUUUUUAUUAGAACUAUAUAAAAUUUAGGUCAAUGUUUGGAACACCUACCAUCAACCACCUAAAUCACAUCCUCUUAAGUUACAUAUUUGUUUUUUAUUAGAACUAUACAUAAUGAAUACUGCUAACAGUAACUGUAUCUGAAUCAAUGAAUUAACAAUAACUAACCAACUCAACAGUUUAAUAGACUCGACUAAUCUAUUUAGCGAUGUUCUAGCAUUAAGCACUGAAACGAACUCGUAGCCGAAGAAUAUUAAACAAGUACAUUGGAAGUAUGGUACAUACAUAACGAGCAAACCAGUGGGACAGCGACGGAGCCGACUGAAGGCUGGAGCUGAGAAACUGACAGAGGAAGCGGGAGACUGACGGGCAGCGGCACUGGAGGUCACUGAGCGAGGUGGGGGGUGUCGUCUCUGUAAAUGUGUGAAUGGGUGGGUGGGGGAACUGAGGUUGCAGAAUUUGCAGAAGGAAGAGAAGCAAAAAGCACGAUGUUGUCCCUCAGAUCUCACCGGAGUUGGUGAGCGGCACUUAAGGGAAGGGGAAGGGGAAGGGGAAGGUGAAGGGGAAAGGGAAAGGGAAUUAGAGGAUCGGGGAGGGUAGGCGAGGGUAGGGUAGGGGAAUAAGGCCAAAGGGGUAUGUUAAAACUUUUAGGUUAAAAUAAUCGGCUAAAAUUUUCUAUUAGUCCCUGUAUUUUAUGACGUUUUUGGAUUCAGUCCCAAUAGUUUAAAUUGGGUAGGAGAG
rnacentral:lncRNA from 1 species